rnacentral:rRNA from 1 species
AGCGAACGCUGGCGGCAGGCCUAACACAUGCAAGUCGAACGGACCCUUCGGGGUUAGUGGCGGACGGGUGAGUAACACGUGGGAACGUGCCUUUAGGUUCGGAAUAGCUCCUGGAAACGGGUGGUAAUGCCGAAUGUGCCCUUCGGGGGAAAGAUUUAUCGCCUUUAGAGCGGCCCGCGUCUGAUUAGCUUGUUGGUGGGGUAAAGGCCCACCAAGGCUACGAUCAGUAGCUGGUCUGAGAGGAUGACCAGCCACAUUGGGACUGAGACACGGCCCAAACUCCUACGGGAGGCAGCAGUGGGGAAUCUUGCGCAAUGGGCGAAAGCCUGACGCAGCCAUGCCGCGUGUAUGAUGAAGGUCUUAGGAUUGUAAAAUACUUUCACCGGUGAAGAUAAUGACUGUAGCCGGAGAAGAAGCCCCGGCUAACUUCGUGCCAGCAGCCGCGGUAAUACGAAGGGGGCUAGCGUUGCUCGGAAUUACUGGGCGUAAAGGGAGCGUAGGCGGACAUUUAAGU